CACGCCGUAAACGAUGUACACUAGACUGGUGCGGUUUUGACGCCGUAUCAGUCGUAGGAAAACCGAUAAGUGUACCGCCUGGGGAGUACGGUCGCAAGGCUAAAACUCAAAUGAAUUGACGGGGGCUCACACAAGCGGUGGAGCAUGUUGCUUAAUUCGAGGCAACGCGAAGAACCUUACCUGGGUUUGACAUGCAUGGAUUAACUUUGUGAAAGCAGAGCCACACCCGCAAGGGUGGAACAUGCACAGGUGC
rnacentral:rRNA from 1 species